AUUGAACGCUGGCGGCAGGCCUAACACAUGCAAGUCGAGCGGAUGCAGGGAGCUUGCUCCUGGUUUCAGCGGCGGACGGGUGAGUAAUGCCUAGGAAUCUGCCUGUUAGUGGGGGAUAACGUCCGGAAACGGGCGCUAUUACCGCAUACGUCCUGCGGGAGAAAGUGGGGGAUCUUCGGACCUCACGCUAUCAGAUGAGCCUAGGUCGGAUUAGCUAGUUGGUGGGGUAAAGGCCUACCAAGGCGACGAUCCGUAACUGGUCUGAGAGGAUGAUCAGUCACACUGGAACUGAGACACGGUCCAGACUCCUACGGGAGGCAGCAGUGGGGAAUAUUGGACAAUGGGCGAAAGCCUGAUCCAGCCAUGCCGCGUGUGUGAAGAAGGUCUUCGGAUUGUAAAGCACUUUAAGUUGGGAGGAAGGGCAUUAAGUUAAUACCUUGCUGUUUUGACGUUACCAACAGAAUAAGCACCGGCUAACUUCGUG
rnacentral:rRNA from 1 species